UCCCUGAUGGUCCAGUGGUUAAGACUCCAUGCUUCUGAUGCAGAGGGCCUGGGUUCCAUCCCUGGUCUGGGAG
rnacentral:tRNA from 1 species